AAAGGAAUAGACGGGGGCCCGCACAAGCAGUGGAGUAUGUGGUUUAAUUCGAAGCAACGCGAAGAACCUUACCAGGUCUUGACAUCCAACUAACGAGAUAGAGAUAUGUCAGGUGCCCUUCGGGGAAAGUUGAGACAGGUGGUGCAUGGUUGUCGUCAGCUCGUGUCGUGAGAUGUUGGGUUAAGUCCCGCAACGAGCGCAACCCUUGCUAUUAGUUGCUACGCAAGAGCACUCUAAUAGGACUGCCGUUGACAAAACGGAGGAAGGUGGGGACGACGUCAAAUCAUCAUGCCCCUUAUGACCUGGGCUACACACGUACUACAAUGGACGUCAACAGAGGGAAGCAAAACAGCGAUGUGGAGCAAACCCCUAAAAACGUUCUCAGUUCAGAUUGCAGGCUGCAACCCGCCUGCAUGAAGUCGGAAUUGCUAGUAAUCGCGGAUCAGCAUGCCGCGGUGAAUACGUUCCCGGGCCUUGUACACACCGCCCGU
rnacentral:rRNA from 1 species